UUAGGGAGAGACAGAGAGAACCACCUAGAAUUUUUUUUCAACUCAUGAACUUACAGUUCUUACAGUUCAUUAUAUUUGUUUUGAUUACAGAACUUUUUAUUUAAAUCUAUGCUGUUUCUUACACAUUGGUUCUUCUUAAAAAGGGACCUGAUGUCUUCCAUCUUUUGCUUUUUGUUAAAGAUGGUUGAUGUUAAAAUGACAUGUUUGAGAAAAUUAACAUAUAUUACUUGAAUGAUGGGUUAUGUCCAGCGAACACGUUAUUUUUAAUUUGCUGAUGUUUGUAUGGUUUGUUUGAAUGAAAACUAAAAAUACAAACCGCUUCAAAUUCACUGCCAUACAUGUGUAUCACAUAGACCCACUGCUGACAAUGCAUAGUACAGCCUAAGGGUUGCCAGAUCCUCAGGUAUCCCACAUACCUCAGGUAACACACAAACCUGGCAAUUCUGCAAAACCUUACUGGUAACUAUUUGUGAUGGGUGAUUGUAAGAAAUAUUGGUAGGGAGGGACACUUGCAUACUGUCCAUACCCAAAUCCAUGCUUAUGCUGUCUAGCAUCACAGAAUGUAUGAUGCAGUGUAAAGGCUGGUGGAGGCUUGUUUAUGAUAAGUCUAUUAAAGUUUCUAAAUAACUAUGGUAAUGAUUUAUGAAUAAUAAAAUUAUACUAUGAUGCAGCUUUAAAAGAGUAAUUAAUUUCAGUCUUGCAAAGUCACAUUAAUGUUUGAACCAUAUCAUUAAGGUAAAGGUAAAGAUUACCAUCUGUUCGUCUGAAAACAGCUGUGGAUGUCAUUCUCAUAUAUUCAUCCUUUACUCUGGGACUACCUAUUUGUCUUGACAUUACAGAACACUGAUAAAACACUACCAACCGGCCGCAGGAUACACUAGCUCUGUAAAGACUGCUAAUUCACGCAUAUAAGCCUUUCUCCUGCAGAUUGUAACCUGUAUGGCACGCUGGUUCUGGGAUAUCACCAAGAAACAACUUCCUCAUCUGCUCUGUAGAUCAUAUGAUUGCACACGUUUGAAUCGAGUUUGUACCACAAAUACGAGAUAAGUAGCACCUAUAACAGACUGACAGGACAGCGUGUUCAGCUCUACAUACACUUCAGGACUGAUGAGACUGCAGUCUGUCCUCGUGAUCCUAAUCCUGGAUAUAUCCU